rnacentral:lncRNA from 1 species
AAGACAUGAUCCCAGAAAUAAUUGAUAAGCUGGACUUCAUAAAAAUUAAAAAGUUUUGCUCUGUGAAGGAUGCUGUCAAGAGAAUGAAAAGAUAAUAUAUGAGAAAAUAUUUGCAGAGGACAUAACUGAUAAAGGACUUUUCCAAAAUAUACAAAGAACUCUUAAAACUUAACAAUAAGGCCAGGCGCGGUGGCUCACUCCUGUAAUCCCAGCACUUUGGGAGGCCAAGGCUGGUCUCAAACUCCUGACCUCAUGAUCCGCCUGCCUCAGCCUCCCAAAGUACUGGGAUUACAGGUGUGAGCCACCAUGCCCGGCCCAUACUUAAACUUUUAAUAACAUCACUUAGCCAGGAAUCUCCCAAGGCUACUUUAGGUUUAGAUUUAUUCCAUUGUCCAUUUCUGCUUUAGCCCCACCUAUGAAAGAAGACACAUUCACAACCAGUGGUAGAGAAACUGUGGUUUAUAUGCCCCUCUUAGAAUAACUCUUCAGGCUCUGUUUAUAGCCCUGGGUUCAUGCAUGAUAAAGUAGACAGCAACACCACCAUACAGUGCAGAGGAGUGGCAAGAGAGUAAACGGAAAAGGAGAUGAAAAUAGACCAAGUGGAGAAAGGCCUGGUCAAAAAAGGAGGAAAAGGAAGAUCACUAUGGAAUAAUAGAGAGUUGAAAAAUGAAGUGACACCCAAUAACAGGACGGGACAAUCAGAGAUGACUUGGUUGUAGUGUGGAAACCAGUAGGGACCUUGGGAAGCUGCCAAACCCUUUCUAGCUCUGGGCUCAGCUGUAAGAACUGCUGAUUCCUACAGGAACACUUGGACAAUCCAAUACCUAAAUGUUAACCAUCAAUUAACCCAGUAAACCUGCAAGAUGGAAACGAAGAUUUGUUCUCACGAGUUUCACGUGAUUAUUUAAACACUUCUGGGGCCCAGUAGCCAACUGGGGUCUUCCCAUUGCUGCCAUCAAUGAUAUGAAAAAGUCUCCAGAGAUUAUCAGUGGGCGGAUGACAUUUGCCCUCUGUUGCUAUUCUUUGACAUUCAUGAGAUUUGCCUACAAGGUACAGCCUCGGAACUGGCUUCUGUUUGCAUGCCACGCAACAAAUGAAGUAGCCCAGCUCAUCCAGGGAGGGCGGCUUAUCAAACACGAGAUGACUAAAACGGCAUCUGCAUAACAAUGGAAAAGGAAGAACAAGGUCUUGAAGGGACAGCAUUGCCAGCUGCUGCUGAGUCACAGAUUUCAUUAUAAAUAGCCUCCCUAAGGAAAAUACACUGAAUGCUAUUUUUACUAACCAUUCUAUUUUUAUAGAAAUAGCUGAGAGUUUCUAAACCAACUCUCUGCUGCCUUACAAGUAUUAAAUAUUUUACUUCUUUCCAUAAAGAGUAGCUCAAAAUAUGCAAUUAAUUUAAUAAUUUCUGAUGAUGGUUUUAUCUGCAGUAAUAUGUAUAUCAUCUAUUAGAAUUUACUUAAUGAAAAACUGAAGAGAACAAAAUUUGUAACCACUAGCACUUAAGUACUCCUGAUUCUUAACAUUGUCUUUAAUGACCACAAGACAACCAACAGCUGGCCACGUACUUAAAAUUUUGUCCCCACUGUUUAAAAAUGUUACCUGUGUAUUUCCAUGCAGUGUAUAUAUUGAGAUGCUGUAACUUAAUGGCAAUAAAUGAUUUAAAUAUUUGUUAAA